rnacentral:tRNA from 1 species
GGGGAUAUGGCUCAGUUGGUAGAGUGCUUGCCUCGAAUGCAGGAGGCCCUGGGUUCAAUCCCCAGAACCACCA